rnacentral:rRNA from 1 species
UUUAUGGAGAGUUUGAUCCUGGCUCAGGAUGAACGCUGGCGGCGUGCCUAAUACAUGCAAGUCGAGCGAACGGACGAGAAGCUUGCUUCUCUGAUGUUAGCGGCGGACGGGUGAGUAACACGUGGAUAACCUACCUAUAAGACUGGGAUAACUUCGGGAAACCGGAGCUAAUACCGGAUAAUAUUUUGAACCGCAUGGUUCAAAAGUGAAAGACGGUCUUACUGUCACUUAUAGAUGGAUCCGCGCUGCAUUAGCUAGUUGGUAAGGUAACGGCUUACCAAG